ACUCUUUGCGUCAUCGAGCGAUGCUCUCCCUCCGCCGCCUCUCGCCUAUUCUCCCUCGAUCCCCCUCCAGUGCCGCCUCGCGUCUCCCUCUCUCUCUCUCUCCACGAUCUAUUCUUCUUCAUUAUCUCCCUCUCCCUAGAUGGAAGACAAAUCCAUCCACAAUCUCUUCCUCUCCAUUAUCAUCCUUGCCCUCACAGGAGAACAAAAUCGUUUAGAGCGGAAUCAAUUUUUGCCGUCCCCAAUGAUUGGAUCCUGAAUCUCCUCAUGUAUAAAUUUUGGAUGCUUUAUUGAGAUCAGGUCGGAGCACACGAACUAUGCCCAUCUUUGCUGCUCAAGAUUCUCCCAAUCUCCGGCAAGUUUGUCUCUGGUCGGUUGUUGUCAUUGCGCAGUCUUAGGUUGAAAACAAUGAUCUGCGAUAUACUCGAUGCGAAUAAUCAUGCGAAGGAUUCCUGGAAUGGCUAAAAAUAAACGGUGGGAGUAGUUAAGACUCCUGGAAUAUACACAGAUAAAAAAAGAACCAUCAUGGUACUUUGGGCCCUGUUGUUAUGGACACCAAAAGACUAGGACGGGAACACAUGUUGCAUUUUAUUAUGAUGAAGAAUUGGGAAUAAGGGCAUUCAGGAUAGAGAUGUGGUAGCAUUGAUAUAAUACCAGAAAACAAUGCUGAUGUUGAGCAUUCAGAAAUCAGAAGAACUAAGAUUAUUCGAAGAUCAACAUAAGUACGAGCACAAGCAAAUUCAGGAAAUGAACAGGAUAAGUAUGUAAGCUUUGUUGGUGUAUUUUCCUGUCCUUUCAUAAUAUAAGUAUCAGGCCUCGAUAAUUGCUAUAGACAUUUCUAUACCACUAUAUAGUGUAUGAGUUUUGAACGGGUCCAGAGCAUCAAUCCUGACCGUUGGUAUUCUCAAUCUAACGAUUGAAAGCAAUGGGAUUCGCAUGAACAGUACCCAUCAACUGCUUACAGUAUAUUCUAGAACCAUCACGUUAUAAAGAGGUGCCUGCUGCUUAGGCCAUGCUGCGGUCAGAGGACGUGCUUGAUGGCUUGAGAUGGGUCUAGAAACAGAACCAAAGAGAGAAGAAAUCUAAAUUAAACAGUUAAUGAAUUUGGAUCCCGCUGGUUAUUUUCAUUUGUUUUUUACAACUCUGUCACCAAUCAAUAGAAAUUACACUCUUCUAACAUAUAUCUUUACAACAAUAAUAUUCGUUGUUGCAUUCAUGCAUAGUGUAUUAUUCCGUAUUUCCUUGUUUUGCAGCGUACCCUAAUGCUUUUUCCUUUCAUCAAAAACACUUACUUUGACGUGCAUCGCACGUGCAUACAUACUAGUUUAAGUUAGUGACUAAUACAUUCUUUUUAUUGUUUUCCAGUAGUAAGUAAAAAAGGUCACCUACUUUGAAAACUUCAAAGCAAGCUCUAAUUGCUGAUGAAGUCAUUGUAAACCAACAUAAAAAAAUUGAGACAGGGAGCACAGGUCGUGUUAUGCAUCUUGAUGAAGAAUCAAAAAUUGAGGGAUGACAGGAAGCGAAUGAAUCAAAAUUCAUGGAAUCAAGAACAAUGACGAAGCAGACCGCAAAUCAAAGACUAGAAGGUUCUCAAAGUCAUAAAGAUUCCAAACUGAGGACAUUGUGUAAUGGGGUUGAUAAACAAUCGGCGACCUGAGACAUUCCAAAACAUGGUGCAUCAAGGACUAAAAAACAAGUAGCGCAUUGAUAAAUAUUUAGUGACAUUUAGGAUUUUUAAAAAAUGUACAUGCACAUCAGAUUUGUACCAAAUGUACAUGCACAUCAGUUUUUUAUUAACAAAAUGCCAAUUAAUCUGCAGUAGAUGUUUGGGUUAUAUCUAAAUGUCUAAAACAAUUAAAUAUUGAUCGCCCCUAUUGCUCACUAGCCAUGGUCAACAUGCGUCAAACUUAGUGGAACAAAUCAAAACAACAAGAUCUAACUAUUACAACAAUACCAGGAAUUAAGCAUAUACCCCUUAAUCUACCUAGAUUAUAUAAUGACAUCGAAAUAUAAUAUAGUAAUAUAUCAGGUGACCAAACAUUCCAAAUGUGAAAAUAAAACAAAUACACAGGAAAAGUUUGCUAUCUAAGUAAACCAAGUUCCCAUCUUGCGAUACUAGAAUCUAAUGGUAGUCAUCUAACAUCAUUAGAGCAGAAACACAGGAAGCUAUAUCGAAAGAAAGAGAUAUUCCAUCUGACAUUCUUAAUAUGCUAGCCCGUGUGAAUGCACGGGUUCGCGACUAGUAAUCUUAAGUAUGCUUAUCUUGAUGAAAAGAAAAUAUAUCAUGUUAUUAUUAGUGCUAAUCUUUCAGAACAAGAAGAAGAAAGAUUAUUGAAAACUCUA